GUUCGAUUAGGCCAACUAAAAAAUUCCCGGUUUCUCACCGGCAUCCGCAUUACUCCAUUAGAAAAUAUUAGGCCUACAUUCUGGCGGAAUUCUAGAACUAUUUUAGAAAACACACCUACACAGCCGGAAUCUAAUUUAAUCUAUACCGCUCACCAGGCAUAUAUAAGAGUCGGCAGGAAUGCGUUAAUACAGUUUGAUACAGAUUAUACAGGCGCUAGUGCUUUAUAUAAUCACUCAAGAAGUCAAGUCGAUGCAUGUACAUAGAUUUCAUCAGUUUGCAACAACUAUAGUCUAUACACUCAAAAAAUACCCGGGUUAAAAAUUUACUGCUUAUCUAUAAUUCUCAUUUUCGGGGGUACGGAUAAGCGCACAAUUUUGCAAUAAUUGUGCAUGCAGGUAUAUAGUAAAGAAAGUACCAUAUUGAUAGCAUGUUUGGACUUUGACACAAGUAUGAAUAUUAGAUGUGGAGGCAUCUGUGAAAUUAACGCUGAUAGCUUAAAAUUUUGAAUUUCUGACAUUUUAAUAUACGUUUCUAUUAUACUGAUACAGUGAUAGAAAUUUUAGAAUCCUAAGGUAACUCACAGAGUUUAAAAAUAGAUAAAAAAAAAAUAGGUGCAAACACUGGCACUAGCUUCACUGAAUCGCCUUUUUUAACAGGUUGCAGCUUAGCUCGGGAAAUAUUUGGAAAAUCAAAAAACUGCUUUAAUGUUCUAUAGACAUUUUUUGUCUACUUUUCAGCCAUAGUCAUCGAACUAAUUUUUUUGUGAAUUGUGAAGUACUUUAGAACAGUGGCGUGCUGGCAGGGGGGGGGGCGGGGGGCCACGGCCCCCCCCAGCUGGCAAUUCUUGGGGGGCGCAAAAAUGAAAAUGGGGCGCCGAAUUUUGAAAGUGGGUGGGAACAUUCUCGAAAAAAUAUGGUUACUUCCGCCAAGGAAAGACGUGUUUAUAGGCUACGGUAUAGAACAGACUAAGCGCAUAGGCGACAUAUAUUAAAUUACAGACUAUUUUGCCUAGCCGUAUUUGCUACCUCACAGCUCACACGAAAUCGUUCAUAUAAAAACAUGAUCAGUGAUCACAGGUAAUGUCUCAUUACCGGAAUAUUGGUCAGGUUUCGAUCGAAGCGAUCAUGGGAAUUAUGCUCUUUUUUGCUGGUAUUAUGCCCUUAUAAUAUGCCCUUUAUUAUGCUUCACGAAUCACGAGGGCGGCGCAAAUUGGAUAGUUGAAGUUAUCAUAACUGAUGUAAAGUUGUGUACGCAAUUUAGUUGUUUGCACAAGAAGCAUGAGUAAUGUAAGUAAUGAAAUAAUGCUGAAACAUGCCCUUUGGGCAGCCAGGCAAAGAAACCUUAAAAUGCAUAUGCGUGGGGUGCGUGUGUUAUUGUAUAAAAGAGCUUUAAGUUGUAAAUGUGCUCAGAACAGUAGAUCAGUAGAGAACAGAAUUGGGAUUAAAUUAAUUGCUGGAAGUAGUUAGCAUUGCAUAAUUUAAGUACCACUACUAAAU
rnacentral:lncRNA from 1 species